rnacentral:rRNA from 1 species
AGAGUUUGAUCAUGGCUCAGGAUGAACGCUAGCUACAGGCUUAACACAUGCAAGUCGAGGGGCAGCAUGUUGGUUGCUUGCAACCAACGAUGGCGACCGGCGCACAGGUGAGUAACGCGUAUCCAACCUACCCUUGUCCAUCGGAUAACCCGUCGAAAGGCGGCCUAACACGAUAUGCGGUUCACAGCAGGCAUCUAACGUGAACGAAAUGUAAAGGAGAAGGAUGGGGAUGCGUCUGAUUAGCUUGUUGGCGGGGUAACGCCACCAAGGCUACGAUCAGUAGGGGUUCUGAGAGGAACGGUCCCCCANAUUGGAACUGAGACACGGUCCAAACUCCUACGGGAGCA